rnacentral:rRNA from 1 species
AAACUCCGUCGUGCUGGGGAUAGAGCAUUGCAAUUAUUGCUCUUCAACGAGGAAUUCCUAGUAAGCGCAAGUCAUCAGCUUGCGUUGAUUACGUCCCUGCCCUUUGUACACACCGCCCGUCGCUACUACCGAUUGAAUGGUUUAGUGAGACCU